AUUUGAUGAGUUGGAGAAGAAUGAACCUACCACUGAUACACUCUCACAAAGAGGGACCUGGGGUGCAGAUGGUGGUGGAGGUGUUUGGCGUGGAGAGGACAGUGAAUUCAGUGGAGGACAUCCCAGCCACUUGACAGUGUUGGCACUGUUACUUCCUACCUGACGGGUGAAGGAUGAUAAACCCGUGUUUGAGAAGAGGUGUCUGGUGUGGGAGAACAUGCGGAUUCCCUCAAAGUUCCUGAAGGUGACAUAUUAGUCUUUCCCUCCAAGCCAUCUGUUACCCCCUACUGUCACCCUAGCCCCUUACUCUUAAACCACUAACCCCUAAGUUUCCAACAGGACCUGACUUGUGUGUAUGUGUAUGUUAUA
rnacentral:lncRNA from 1 species